ensembl:lncRNA
UUUAAAUAUAUUUGCAGCUCAUAUCUGUUGUGAACAACUUUGAUGUGUGAAUUUCCUAUGUGAUUGUAUCGUAUUUCUGUGUUGUUAAAGGGAUAGUUUACUUUGAAAUUAAUUUUUGAUAUGUUUUAGCUUACCUCAAGGGCAUCCAAGAUGUAGGUGUCUUUGUUUCCACAGUAUUUUCCAUUUUGAUAUUUUUUGGUCAAACCGUUCUUGUCUGUCAGUCAUAUAAUGCAGGUCUAUGGUCACCACCUCAAAGAGCAUGCACAGAGAAAUCCAAAUUAAACAUGAUUUAAUGACUCGUAAAUGAAAGUGAUGAAGAUUCCCAAAGAGAAGAGCAGAGUGCAGAACCUUUCACAUUGGCACAGGAAAGUGAUGAAGAUUCCCAAAGAGAAGAGCAGAGAGCAGAACCUUUAACAUUGGAGCAGGAAAAUGCCCCUCAAGAAAUACGUGAUGAUAUCCACUCUCAUGGACUAACGGAAGGGCAAAGUUGCAUCUCUAUUUUCUCCUUUGCAUUGAGACACAACACUACUGGUGUAUUGAUGGAAGACCUGCUGAAACUUCUAAAGUUACAUUCUGCUGGGACAAAUGCAGUACCAGCAAGCAAGUAUUUUUUGGAGAAACCAUUAGCUGGUAUUAUAGAUCAAUUAAAACGCCAUCAUUACUGCAGAGUAUGUACUAAGUACCUUGGCACUUCACAAUCACAAGAAGAAACACUUACAUGUGUGUCAUGUUCCUCGUCCAUAACAGUAAAAGACAGUUUACAGGAAGGACAUUUCUUUAUCAGUAUUCCAUUAAAGGAUCAACUGAAGGAUGUUCUUGAGAAUCAAGGUAUGCACGAUCUCUGUUUUCGUCCUGAUGACAGUAGUAGGCAUGUAAUAAGUGAUAUAUGUGAUGGCACCUUAUAUCAGACCUUGAAAUCAAACAGUGAAGAGGAUUUCCUCUCCCUUACAUUUAAUUGUGAUGGUGUACCAGUCUUUCAGUCCUCUAAAUUUAGUAUUUGGCCUAUACUGUGUUGUGUCAAUGAGAUACCCCCUGAGAGUAGAGAUAAGCAUGUGCUUUUAUGUGCUUUAUGGUUUGGAGCAAAAAAGCCAGACAUGACCUGCUACUUCCAUCCAUUUGUAGAGGAAUGUGCCAAUCUUUCACAAGCUGGCUUUGAGUGGCAACAUCCUAGUGAUCAGUCAUGGAGACACGUGAAGGUGCAUCCAUUGUGCUGUGUGUGUGAUGCAGUAGCAAGGCCAUUACUACAAAAUUUUAAGCAAUUUAAUGGUGAAUAUGGCUGCGGAGUCUGCCUUCACCCUGGGGUGCAGAUGAGGAAAGGAAAAGGAAAGUCAAGGGUUUACACAUGUGCAGAUGAAAAACCAAGUGACAGAAAUCAUAAAACCACAGUAGAGAUAGGACAAAUUGCUGAAAGAGAAGGGACAACAAUAUUGGGCAUAAAGGGCCCAUCUGCCAUUGUAGAUUUACCAAACUUUGAUGUAAUCAAUGGGAUGGUCCCUGACUAUAUGCGUUGUGUGUUGCUUGGCGUGUGCAGACAAAUGGCAACUUUAUGGAUCUAUUCAAAAAACUAUUCUGAGCCAUGGUACAUUGGCACACAAACAGCUAUCUUGGACAGACACCUCUUGUCUAUAAAACCUCCAGGUAUUGUUGCUCGAGUUCCAAGAUCUCUGACUGAACGCAAAUUCUGGAAAGCCCAUGAGUGGCAACACUGGCUUCUGUACUAUAGCUUGCCAGUUCUAAAAGGCAUACUUCCACAGAAGUAUCACUGUCAUUGGGCAUUACUGAUAGAGGGCAUAAGCAUUCUGUUGGGAUCUGAAAUAAAUACAGAACAGAUAAAUCAUGCCCAUGAGGCAUUAGUGUACUUUGUUGGAGGUGUGCAGUCGCUGUAUGGGGAAGAGCACAUGACAUUCAAUGUUCAUUCACUUCUGCAUUUGAGCAAAAGUGAUGUGCAUUGUGGUCCUUUGUGGGCGCACUCAGCCUUUAUGUUUGAAGAUUUCAAUGGAUACCUCCUGAAACAAGUAAAAAGUAGCCAAGCUGUACCACAACAAAUAUGCAAACGAGUUCUGUUUUCCCGAGCUUUUCCCCGUUUAGCAAAGCAAUUUUUAACAAAUGCACCUGCAGAAGUUACAGAUUUCUGUAAUGAAAUGAGAACCGAAAAGCAUCAUGUCAAGAAGUUUGCGAAGUUCACUGAGGUAACUGCCCUUGGUCCACCAAAUGUAAGAUUAAUGUCUGUUAGUGAUCAAGCUGCCCUACAAACAGUGAGAGAGGUUUCCCCAAACUCUGUGGUAAAUUACUACAAGAGAAUUGCUGUAAAUGGAGAGGUUGUUCAUGGUCAUACCUACAGCAAAACAAAACAAAGAAACAACUCUAUUGUGCUUUUGAAGGAUGGGAGUAUUUUUAGAGUGUCCCACUUUAUUGACAUGGGUGAUCAGUGUUUAUAUGCCAUAGGAAACUAUGGUAAUUGCACAGUGCAGAAGUUAGCCAGAGGUUCUCUUAUCAAAACUCCACUGAGCUACAUGUCAACUGUCCUCUUUCCCACAGGCUUUCACAAAGCCAUAAACACUGCUCAGGUAGUUAGACCAUGUAUGUAUAUUCAGUGUCCACAGUCCAGCUCAAUUGUUUGUCGGCUACUUAAGACAUAUUACUGUAAAUGAACUAAAUGUGAAGAUGGCCACUUAUUCAUUCAGGGUUGCUGAGCUGGAAAGUAACUAAUUGCUUCUACUGUUACUGUAAUCUAAUGUGAGA